ACCACUCUCAGACCCGACGGCCAAGCCAUUCCUGCAGACGACGGCCCAGCCCCCCAUACCCCUCGGAGACCCUAGAUCUCUCCACCGCCGGAGAGUAGAAGGUCAGCCUUCGAGCUUCGCGCCUGCGUCAACAGUCUCUCUCUCUCUCUGCAAACCCCCUCUGAUGUCGAACCUUAUUAGAAGUCGUAAGGCGAUGACGACCACACAGAGUUCGCCUCCCCCGGCUCUGACAUCAGCUACCACUGCUCCAGCGCAGAUGGACCAUUUGAUGGUUGGUCCCGGGGUCUCUCAUGCGUCAGUGUCAUCAGCGUCAUCAGUGGCGCAAUCUGUUAGCGCCAGACGUCAUCACCGCCCCGCCAGCACCACCGACACUACAUCGACAGACGCUACUGAUGCGUCGGGUCACAAUCAGCCAAGAAGAACACCCGGGGGCUGUGUGGGCAGUUGAAGACGACAAAGGUCACCUAGGUGACCAAUAGUCGUAUCAACAUCGGAUAUAACGAGCGGCAUCGGGCUGCACUGACGGCAGAGUUGCAUAGCUCAUUGGCCCACGACAUUGGUCACGUCGUUCGGACCCAUUGCCCGAUGCAAUGGAAGUCUUGGAAGGGCAUGCCUGCCGAGAUCCAGAUGGAGACGAACUAUAACUUAGAGGACCUCGAUGACGAGUCAUUGGCGUACGUCAACAUACUCUUUGCUGAGAGGUACAAGCAGUGGAAGAGCGACUUGCAUCACCAUUUCUAGGCGUUUGAUGAUCCACAGGUUGCUCUUCAGGAGGGUUGCCGAAGAAGCUUGAGGGGCGGGAGGAUAGUUGGGCGUGGCUCUGCGCUCAUUUUCAGGCGCCAGAUUAUGUGCCAAAGUCAAUAAGGGCAAUAGGAACAAGAAGACUUUUCUCCACCAUUCAAGUUCCAAGCCCUUCUCAUAUAGGAUGGAUGCACGGUGGCAUGGGGGUCCAAAUUCCCAAAGAUCGACGUCUUUGGCGACGUUUAUGU